rnacentral:lncRNA from 1 species
CGCGAGGAAGCGCCGCGAGGCGGAAGGGGAGGGGGUCUCGCGGCUGGAGGAAAGCGAGAGGGCGCGAGCCGGGCUGGCGCGCGUGCGCGUCGCCGGGGAGCGGAGAGGGAGGAGCGCGCGGGUGGGAGCUCCCGGGGGGGGGGGGGGGGGGGGGGGGCCAGGAGCGAGCAGUGGCGCGAGGUGCCGCGCACACCGGCGCGGUUAGCUCCCGGCGGGAAAGUGGGAGAGAAUCAAGUCGGUGAACCUCGCACCCCUAGCCCUGGGAGUGGGUAAGGAGCGGCGCGGGCGCUCACGCGCGCCAAGGAUUUAGGGUCUUAAGGUCUCAAACCGCCUUAGAAGCCGGCGGCCGCUGUCGCUUCACAAUGAGCGUGUGAGGCGCAGGGGGAGGAGCCGAAGGCGCCAGAGGAAGGGCCGGCCUCUCCGCCCACGCCGUCGCUGCGUCGCGAUGCCUCCGCGGGAGUGUGAGGCGGCACGUCGUGCGUGAGGCUCUUCCGCCACUUGGCGGCCCGUGGGCAGAGCCUUAAGUGCCAAGAAAGUCUCCGGGACUGGACCACCCGAGCCACUGCGCUUUUAGGCAGGUGGUAGGUUUCGCAAGGAGCUACCCUCCACCUUGUUUGCUUUAAGUAAAAGACUGAUGAGCAUUAGUGAUUCGUUUGAGCGUGUUGAUCUUUGCAGAUAAAUUUACGCCUCGUCCUAAAUUAUUUCAGAUUUUUGUGAUUUUGACCUAAAUUGUUCCUCCAUGCCCGAGAAUGAAUCUUUAAACUGUAAUAACAAAGACUGAAGGCCAAAGUUCCGAGUUCAAAAUCCUCCACCCGACCCUGCAAUGAAGGCAGCUUCAUUCAUUCAAAAUGAGUUGGGCAUUGGAGUAUUCAGUUAGUUGUUUUGGACACAAGGAUAAUUAAACUGCUUCCUGCUCUGGAGGAGUUCAUGCUAGUGGUGAAUUCAGAGAAUUUGACGAGAUCUAGUAGGUGAAGCACAGAGGACUACAAGAGCAAAUGGGAGUGACACCUAAUCUUAAUCCAGUUUUGGGAGACCCAGAUAAGGGACAGGAGGGCCGGGCGCAGUGGCUCAUACCUGUAAUCCUAACAUUUUGGGAGUCCGAGGCAGAAGGAUCGUUUAAGGCCAGGAGUUUGAGACCAGCCUAGGCAACAAAGUGAGACUUUGUCUCUACAAAAAAAAAAAAAUUUAAAUUAUAAAAAAAAACUGAUAAGAGGGCAGGGGGAGAUGGGUUUCUAGGCAGGGAAAUAGGAUAUGACAAACUAAGAAAAACUCAGCUUGUCCUAAGCAUAAAAUUAAAGGGGGGAAGAGGUAGCUAAUCUGGGAUCAGGUUUUAAAGGCUCCCAAGUCUUGUAAGAGACACGGACAUUAUCCUCAAAGCAGUGGGGAGCUUAUUUAAGAAAGUGAAAAGAGGCUGGGCAUGGUCUGUAAUCCCAGUACUUUGGGAGGUUUGAGGUCAGGAGUUUGAGAUCAGCCUGGCCAACAUGGUGAAACCCUGUCUCUACUAAAAAUGCAAAAAUUAGCUAGGCGUGGUGGUGCAUGCCUGUAAUCCCAGCUACUCAGGAGGCUGAGGCAGGAGAAUCACUUGAACCAAGGAGGCGGAGGUUGCCGUGAGCCCAGAUCGCACCACUGCACUCCAGCCUGGGUGACAGAGCAAGACUCCUUCCCCCCAAAACAAACAAAAAAACAAGUGAAAAGAGGUCAGAUUUGCAUUUUUAAAGGUUUACUCUUUGCAACGUGGAGAAUGGAGUGGAGCUGUUAAGUCCAUGUGGUCUUAAUCCCAGCGAAACUCUCAAUGUCUCAAUCUCUUCGCUCUAAAUGUUAGCAUUGGAACUCUUCCCAGCCCCUGCACCAAACACAUGCACACCUAGCUACAACACUGCCUUACUUUUUGGGUAAUAGUCCUUCGCCCUGCCUCGCUCCUGCCUUCAGAUGUGCUAGUUUCCCCUCCUGUGUGCUCGCCGAGCAAUUUAUCCCACUGUAUUCUAACAGCUCCUUUAAUUCUGUCUUCCUGCUAAUGUCAGCUCCCUAAGGGUUAGGAUCUUGACUUAUUUCU